rnacentral:rRNA from 1 species
GACGAACGCUGGCGGCGUGCUUAACACAUGCAAGUCGAGCGGUAAGGCCCUUUCGGGGGUACACGAGCGGCGAACGGGUGAGUAACACGUGGGUGACCUGCCCUCAGCUCUGGGAUAAGCCUGGGAAACCGGGUCUAAUACUGGAUAUGACUCCAUGACGCAUGUUGUGGGGUGGAAAGCCUUGUGCGGCUGAGGAUGGGCCCGCGGCCUAUCAGCUUGUUGGUGGGGUGAUGGCCUACCAAGGCGACGACGGGUAGCCGGCCUGAGAGGGCGACCGGCCACACUGGGACUGAGACACGGCCCAGACUCCUACGGGAGGCAGCAGUGGGGAAUCUUGCGCAAUGGGCGAAAGCCUGACGCAGCGACGCCGCGUGAGGGAUGACGGCCUGC